UACAGAGGCCUCGAGCGUUAGGCGGAAUCACUGGGCUUAAAGCGUGUGUAGGCGGACUUCUAAGUCCCUUGUGAAAUCCCACGGCUCACCCGUGGAACUGCUGGGUAUACUGGUCGUCUUGAGCCUUCUAGGGGCUACCGGAACAAAUGGUGGAGCGGUGAAAUGCGUAGAUAUCAUUUGGAACGCCAAUGGUGAAAACAGGUAGCUGGGGAAGUGCUGACGCUGAGACACGAAAGCCAGGGGAGCGAACGGG
rnacentral:rRNA from 1 species